rnacentral:rRNA from 1 species
GAUGAACGCUGGCGGCGUGCUUAACACAUGCAAGUCGAGCGAGUGAGUUCUUCGGAACGAUCUAGCGGCGGACGGGUGAGUAACACGUGGGCAACCUGCCUCAUAGAGGGGAAUAGCCUCCCGAAAGGGAGAUUAAUACCGCAUAACAUCGUUGAAGGGCAUCCUUCGAUGAUUAAAGGAGUAAUCCGCUAUGAGAUGGGCCCGCGGCGCAUUAGCUAGUUGGUGAGGUAACGGCUCACCAAGGCGACGAUGCGUAGCCGACCUGAGAGGGUGAUCGGCCACAUUGGGACUGAGACACGGCCCAGACUCCUACGGGAGGCAGCAGUGGGGAAUAUUGCACAAUGGGGGAAACCCUGAUGCAGCAACGCCGCGUGAGUGAGGACGGCCUUCGGGUUGUAAAGCUCUGUCUUUGGGGACGAUAAUGACGGUACCCAAGGAGGAAGUCACGGCUAACUACGUGCCAGCCGCCGCCGUAA